UUGUUUAUCUUUUCUCUCUUUGCCAAGUGCUUGGAUGGUCCAGUACUGGUGGUACAGUAAUCGAAAUCCUCUGCAAUGAUCUACUAGGUAUAACUAGUGGCGUUUGAUGAACAUAGCUUGAUGGCCUAGCAGCUGAUGUGGAACGAACUGAAGGAGUAGAGUCCACAAACUGUCUACCUAUCUAAUAAAAAUGAAAUAGUUUCCAUUAUCCCUCUAAAAUCUACCAAUAAAAAAAAAAAAAAAACCGAAUAAAUAUAUUGCCUAACAAUGAAGGAUAAUUUGAUUUGAUAGAGUGUAACCGUAUGCAUGUUUAUCAACAUUUAGAAAUGGUUCAAUUCAAUCGAAUAACAAUAGUAACUGUUUUCUCAAAAGUGCAAUUAAGAUGAAAUUUCUGAAUUGGCAAAAAAUUUCAAGAUUCAAAUUAACAACAAACUUAACGAAAAUUUAGAAAUCUACUUAAGUUGCACUCAAAAUGAACUUAAACAAGAUCAAAACUCUUUCUCCAAAUUAACUCAAAACCAAAUCCAAAAUUUCUCAAAUGCUGAAACAAUAGCUCUUUUAAUUUCUAAUGAACUUAUCAAACUCAAUCCAAAAUGAUCAAAUGAAAGAAAUUACCGCAGCAGUUGAUUGAGAUUUAGUACUAACACCAGAAGUAGUAUAUCGAAACCCUAAGUUGUGAGUAACUUCUUCAUCAUCUUCUUCUUCUCAGCUGUACAGUCAUUCAAUGCAUUGCCCCUUUACACUGAGCUGCCAUUUUUC
rnacentral:lncRNA from 1 species